UAUAUAAGGGGGCCGAGCGGCUCGGCUCGGCGCAUUCGUAAAUUAACUUUCGUUCAGUUCGGACGUGAAGAACACCUGAAGACCCACCAACCAGUGAGCAAUCCUGCGUUUCGUUUACAUCGUCACCAGGCUGAUGACAAGAAGACAUUAAAAUGUAGACGAGAGGGAUCCGGUGCGGAACGCGACAGUUUCUCUCCACCGUACGGGGUCGGUGCUUGAACUAUCCGUACGCAAUGAUAAAUUGGUCUGACUAGUUUGAAAUUUCUUCGCAUUUCAAACUGUUCAAGAAGAACACUUCGAGGCACAUGAAUUAGAGCAGACUCAUAGUUUGACCGAGGUAAAUCGUCGGCACCAUCUUCUUUAAACGAAUAUCUACCACAAGGGCACACGGAACAUUGGAAUUGAGAAAAACACAGAACUGAAACAAACAAAAAGCCGUGAAAGGGAGAGGAUCGCUUUCCACGGCUCUAGCUUGCGAGUAGUAGGUGAUAUUUUUACCAUAAUGAAACGUGCUCGUUGAUACGAGCCAAAUAUGCUGCAUCUGAUGGUUCUGGUGGCAGAUUGCGUGAUUCUUUUUUGUUAGUACUUGUGCGCUUGUGCACUUGCUAUUGAGGUAAUAUGUCACAUUAAAGAGAAGUCUUGUCAGUCUUGUAGGUCUAUCAGCUUAAAGAGAAGUAUAGAAAAACAGAAACAAAACUAAGCGGAGAGCGAACCGCGGUUAUUGAGAAAAACGCAGAACUAAAACAAACAAAAAACCGUGAAAGGGAAAGGAUCGCUUUCCACGACUCUAGCUUGCGAGUAGCAGGUGUUAUUUUUACCAUAAGAAACGUGCUCGUUGAUACGCGUCAAACAUGUUCCCUUGGGUGGGAAAGCCUAUAUUGUUCUGUUUAGUUGACGUAUUAAAGAGAAGUCUAUUCAGUUUUCUAAGUCUAUCAGCUUAAUGAGAAGUAUAGAAAAACAAACAAAACUAAGCGGAGAGCGAACCGCGGUUAUUGAGAAAAACGCAGAACUAAACCAAACAAAAAACCUUGAAAGGGAAAGGAUCGCUUUCCACGACUCUAGCUCGCGAGUAGCAGGUGAUAUUUUUACAAUAAGAAACGUGCACGUUGAUACGCGCCAAACAUGUUCUCUUGGGGGGGAAAGCCUAUAUUGUUCUGUUUAGUUGACAUAUUAAAGAGAAGUCUAUUCAGUUUUCUAAGUCUAUCAGCUUAAUGAGAAGUAUAGAAAAACAAACGAAACUAAGCGGAGAGCGAACCGCGGUUAUUGAGAAAAAACGCAGAACUAAAACAAACGAAAAACCGUGAAAGGGAAAGGAUCGCUUUCCACGACUCUAGCUCGCGAGUAGCAGGUGAUAUUUUUACCAUAAGAAACGUGCUCGUUGAUACGCGCCAAACAUGUUCUCUUGGGUGGGAAAGCCUAUAUUGUUCUGUUUAGUUGACAUAUUAAAGAGAAGUCUAUUCAGUUUUCUAGGUCUAUAAGCUUAAUGAGAAGUAUAGAGAAACAGAAACAAAACUAAGCGGAGAGCGAGCCGUGGUUAUUCAGGAGAUCCUCGAAGGACCCUGAAAACCCGGCGAGCUUAGUUUCGAUGGAAAUAGUGAAAGAAACAGCGAUUCUUACUUUUGUACCUUGAGCCAAGUAGAAGAGACCAAAAAAUAUAAUGUCACACUUCGAGUGUAUACAAAGAGACACUUCGCGACUGCAUUUAUGUACAUAGACUUUCGUAUCUGAAUCGUGUUUCUACGAUCCAAUCAUUGAUCAUUCGAGGAGCAUUUAUUUUUAUAUAGAGAUUAUUAAUAUACAUAACAAAAGGGGAGAGAUCCGAAAGUUUUAAGAGCAGUUUUAGCCCCGGGAGCAGGGCCCCCGUUCCGGGGUGCUUCGCUAAUACACACAUUUUCGGUUCUUUUUCCAAAACUUAGAAGACUGAUUCGCUCGACGCGAUCCAUUUUUUCGGAUUCCAAAGAGUCCUUGUUUGGCGUCGUUCGGCAAUUUAACAGAACACAAUAAAGGAAAUUCUUUUUAGAAUGGAGAAAAAGUAUGAAAGAAAAAGAAGGAUGGAGUAGAUUUUGAAACCCGACAACAGAAAGAGAUCAUUUUCUCGCGACGCGACGCUGCAUCAUGCAGUCUGCGAAAAAAAUGCCGACAAAAAUCAGAAGUAGUAGUGGUAGCGGCAAAAAUAGAAAUCGGUUUUCGGGCCUUCUGGUGUUCCAGUUUCCUCGUUUGUUUCGUUAGCUGCGUCCUUUGAAAAUUAUUACUUUGAAAAUUAAUAUUUCAUUGAUAUUAAUGUUUUGAACGUUGCGUUGACAUUGGUUCUGAUUCGUCGUUGCGGUAACUAAGUUUUUUUUUUAUCACUCGGUUCUUCUUAUUCUUUUUGUAAAUCCUUCUUGCGAAUGCGCCGUUUUUUUUCUUUUUUUUUCUUUUUCUUUUUUUUUUUUGUAUGACCAUAAACCUCAAAAGAUUUUUACGAAUCCGAGCAAAAUAAUAAUUAAAGGAAAAGAUUCACUUUAGAUUCUCUCAGCCUAAGUUUUGCUAACUGCUAAUUCGUAAAAUAAUGGCAAACAUAUACUGCUCCUCGUACCGAAAAUUCAAAAAGCAAAGUUAUUAACGAGUUCACGAGUUAAGAAAAGUAUUUCGUAGCUUUCUGAAUAUUAUACACAAUCAAUUCGUGGCUGAUAUACAUACACGUUAAUCCAUAAGUUGAAAUUACUAUCGAGUUACUAAGUUACAAUUUAAGCGUACCCGUAUUAUCGGCGUAGACUUAAGUAUAGGGGUUGUGUGCGUGUGGCUGUGCGUAACGCAAAAGAGAUUAAAGUAUGCUCUAGUUUUAUUCAGCUUCAAGUAUAACAUAGACACGUAGUCAAAGAGACACGAUAUCCGAACAUUUAAACGUUUUCUUCUUUUUUCUAAAGAAGAGCAGGGGAAGAGUGCCUUUUUCUUUAAAUUGAUUUUGGACGCUUGCUUCUUUCGCGAUAGUUCCUUUUCUCAGUUGAUUUUACAAAAAUCGUUUCUUUCGUUUAAACUCUCCAUCGACUCGUGACACGUAACAUUCCUUUUAAUACACUCGAAUUUCAUUAUUUGCAUUAGUGGUACUUCCUUAAGCAAUAAUCGUCUAAUAAAACCUAAGCUUCUGUUUUAAUUCGUACAUCCAGAACUAAUUUUACUGUAGUCUCUACAAACGUCCGGUAAGAAUAACAACGGCUAUCCCAUGACUUUCCGUUGCUGAAAGUUAUGGGAUAGCCGUUGUGAACUUCGUGGUGCUACGUAUAAGGACGAUAUUGAAUUACUAAUUUAUGAACGACGAAAUAACGCAGAUGCAGCUUGAAGUGACGUUUGAAAUCGCGUUAGAAGCUUCCUCCAGAUUUAAAGAAAUAUCAUGAGAAGUAACCUGUACUCUUAAACAAAUUCGCUUGAUCCCAGGAAGAGAAUAAUCGCGACGAUGGAAUUUGACCUUUCACCAAUUGAAAAAAAUACGAUCGAUUUUUUGUCUUUGCUUUAAUGCUAAGUUUUGGCCUCAUCGUUCGGUUCUAUACCGAACUGACGCACAAUCAAUACACGUUCAAUACUCAUUUGUGGGGGAUUCCCGUUGCACAAGUUCGGGACUUUAAGAACAUAACGGAACAUCGUUCUCUGUAGCAGUCGACCUUUUUACACUAUUCACUACUAUCUUUGAUGUAUCGCUAGCGAUAAGUCUUGGAUGAACAAAUCCAAAGAAUUCGAGAAAUCGUGACGAUUUAUGUCAACGAUAAUCUCGAAGCUCUCGUCGACCUGAGGUCGUCUUUGAUAUUUUGAAAUUAAAUACAAAAUUCCGACUGUAAACUCGCAGGGUGUACACAUAGAGAUCGAAGCAUGCUAUGUCUCUCCUCGAAAGAAAUAAAAUCUACAUAAAAUCUCAUUGCCACUCGACAACUUUCAGAGAUAAUCGGUAAACUGUAUGGCAAUCGACUACUGCAACCGAUUCGUUCAACGGUUGUCGCAUAUAUCGCUUGCUUAUUAGCCCUCGUAUCGAAAAAAGAUUGAAUUUACCCACGAACGGAUAUCCCAUCACUUCUUACACGCAGCAAACUGGUUGAAGUUACGACACAUAAACCGACUUAAAACAUUUGAGAUCGCGUGCCA